UAUAAAAUUGCUUGUUGAUCAAAUAUUGGUAAAUAUUUAUGAUCAAUUUAUAUAAUAAGUAAAUAGUUUUAUUUUAUUUUAGUCAGAUUUAAUUAAACUUUUCAAGACUAGCAGAGCCCCCAUUGCUUCCAAAGAGGCGAGUUCUACUCAAAAUCUGUAACCCAAUCAUCUUUCUAAACUGAUCGGAUAGCCUUUUUACUGAAAUUCCGCUCCGAUUUGAUCGUCGUUGCUUUUUUGUUUGCACUGCACAAUUAGUUUUAGAAAUCGCUUUGGUGGCUCCUCAUCACGCACCGCACCUCACCUCACCUGUUUGAUUUAAUGCCUGUUUGAUUUUUUUUUAUCACUAUUUCGGCUGUUGGGAAUUGAGAUGGAUUCAUUCUGAUUCAGCAUUACACACAGUCAGCUUGAAGUUAUAUUGUCUGCAAAUUGAGAGAUUCUGGGAUGAGCACCCUGGGCAUGAUGUUCCGUUGAUGAAACCGAUGUUCUAUAACGGGCCUUGGAGAGUUAUGAGAGGCGAUGUUCCCGCAUUCAUCAAGAAAUAGCCAGCAACAGGUUAGUCGUUGCUACUCAGUUUCUUCACUCUACAGGCCUAACAAGGAACUGCAGCAAUGUUUGCUCUUGUGAUGCUUAGUCAAGGAUAACUGCAAACAGAUUAUGGUCAUUUACUAGAUAAUACGAAUAAUCUUGUAUGACGAUGAAUUGAUGAUCCCCAACUUUGGUUGCUCCCUGUUACUCAUUUAAUGUAUGAUGCCGUGUGAUUGAGCUUA